ACUUUCGUUUUCCUGUGAAAUAGAAAAUAUAAACAACAUAUAAUGUUGUCAAUAAGACAGGGGGAAUGCUCGUGAUUUCUUACCACUGUUAACUACUGGGACCGUAACCAGCAGAUUCAAACGGAGCUAAACUAGCUAACAGAGAUGGUCACUGAGCUCAUCAAAACAAUUGUCAGCAAAGCGAAGCAUCUGUGUAACAGCACUGAGCAGCAGGAUGUCACAGUCAGGGUUCAGCUCCAGCUCCUCACUGUAGUUUUUCACUGGAACCACACAGGACAAAGGCACACCGAGCCUUUCACUGACCUCCUGCACCUGGAGCCAGAAACAGACGUGGGUGAGAGGACAGGCUUCAUCCACUUUAGUGAGCAGGACCAGCUGAGGAAUCCCUGGAAAAACAGAGCAGAGGUUUUAUAAACGGACACACGAGGAAAUCCAAGUGACUGGCUAGAGCCAGGUCUUAGCUUUGCUGUUGAAAGAAUUCUACUACUUCUGCUAUAUAAGCUUUGUCUGUCCAGUCUACAGUAAUGUGUCAUAUUACAAUAGACAACACUACCUACUUUACCUUUGUUUAUUAAUUUUACUGACCCAU